rnacentral:rRNA from 1 species
UUGGAGGGCAAGUCUGGUGCCAGCAGCCGCGGUAAUUCCAGCUCCAAUAGCGUAUAUUAAAUUUGUUGCAGUUAAAAAGCUCGUAGUUGAAUUUCGGGAUCAGAGUGUCGGUCGUGCCUCGGUACGAACUGGUAUUAUUGGUUCCUACCUUCUGAAGAACCGCGAUGUCAUUAAUUUGGUGUCGUGGGGAAUCAGGACUGUUACUUUGAAAAAAUUAGAGUGUUUAAAGCAGGCUUACGCUUGAAUACAUUAGCAUGGAAUAAUGAAAUAGGACGUUUGAUUCUAUUUUGUUGGUUUCUAGGAUUGACGUAAUGAUUAAUAGGGAUAGUUGGGGGCAUUAGUAUUCAAUUGUCAGAGGUGAAAUUCUUGGAUUUAUUGAAGACUAACUACUGCGAAAGCAUUUGCCAAGGAUGUUUUCAUUAAUCAAGAACGAAAGUUAGGGGAUCGAAGACGAUCAGAUACCGUCGUAGUCUUAACCAUAAACUAUGCCGACUAGGGAUCGGAUGAUGUUAAUUUUUUAAUGACUCAUUCGGCGCCUUACGGGAAACCAAAGUGUUUGGGUUC